CGUUGUCCGGAUUAUUGGGCGUAAAGAGCUUGUAGGCGGUUUGUCGCGUCUGCUGUGAAAGGCCGGGGCUUAACUCCGUGUAUUGCAGUGGGUACGGGCAGACUAGAGUGCAGUAGGGGAGACUGGAAUUCCUGGUGUAGCGGUGGAAUGCGCAGAUAUCAGGAGGAACACCGAUGGCGAAGGCAGGUCUCUGGGCUGUAACUGACGCUGAGAAGCGAAAGCAUGGGGAGCGAACAGGAUUAGAUACCCUGGUAGUCCACGCUGUAAACGAUGUCGAUUUGGGGGUUGAGCUUUGAGCUUGGCGCCCGUAGCUAACGUGAUAAAUCGACCGCCUGGGGAGUACGGCCGCAAGGUUAAAACUCAAAUGAAUUGACGGGGGCCCGCACAAGCGGUGGAGCAUGUGGUUUAAUUCGAUGCAACGCGAAGAACCUUACCUACUCUUGACAUCCAGAGAACUUUCCAGAGAUGGAUUGGUGCCUUCGGGAACUCUGAGACAGGUGCUGCAUGGCUGUCGUCAGCUCGUGUCGUGA
rnacentral:rRNA from 1 species